rnacentral:lncRNA from 1 species
AACCUUCCCCACCCAGAAGAGCUAGUUUUGCCAUAGAGGUUUAUUUAGCCCAGUAGUUCACAACCUUGGGUCCUCAGAUGUUCCUGGACUGCAGCUCCCAGAAAUCCUGGCCAGCCCAGCUAGUAGGGAAGCCUCCUGGGAAUUGUAGUCCAAGAAUAUCUGGGAACCCAAGUCUGGGAACUACUGAUGCAGCGAAACCAUGCCCAUCACUACUAAUUACGAUUCCUUCAACUCAGAUACAAGAAUAAUUCCUGUGCCAUGGUGGAACGAAUUGUUUGGAAUUCAGGAUGAAAGCCUGACCGAAUAAACUUCGCAGAAUUACCGUAUAUUUCCGUGUAUAAGACGCCCCCAUGUAUAAGACGCCCACCACUUUUCUAACCCCAAAUUAAGAAAUCUAAGUGGGCUUAGCAAGUGCAAGGGGAAAGGGAUCAAAGUGCUGCAGGAUCGCUUUGAUCCCUGCUUUUCCCUCCAUUUGUUUUUGUUCUCUCUUCAGCUUACUUCCAUGUAUAAGACGACCCUCAAUUUUUACUCUAAAGAUUUUAGAGAAAAGUAUAGUCUUAUACACAGGAAAAAUAUGGUAACCGUUCGUCAGCAGCUCCUCAACAAAAGGGGAUAAGCGCUGUGUGGCCAAAAUGCCUUGACUGCUCAGAAAGAUUGCAUCCAGAGGACUUGAGGGUACAUAAUCCAGGCUCGGAGAUGUUUUGCUGACGGGUCCUUCAGCUGUCGGCUCAUUACUCAUGCUCCCCACCGGCCUUUCUGGCCUCGCCUGGGGGCCAUUGUCUUGUGUUUGUGACAUCACAGCUGGUUGCUAUGGGAGCCGGUGAUGAUGUCACAGAGGGAGAAUUAGCACCUAUUAAUGCGAACAAGCGCAGGGAGGACAUGAAUAAUGGGAGAAAGAGCCGGCUUGGACACAAAUUGGUCGGGAACGUUUUUGGACAGGAAAACGGCUUGAGAGGUGGAGCCAGCGCUGAUCUGGGAUGGAAGAAUUCAAGGAGUGACUGUAGUGAUGGAAAAUCAAUUCAUUUCUCUUUCUUCCACUGGCUAAUUUUCUGCGUUUUGGCACCGUUCGGAUCGGGAAUGAAUGGAAAACAGAUCCUUGCCCAUCCUUUGGGAAUGGGCAAAGACAUCCGUCUUACAUCCUUCUACAUUUCACUUUUCCAGAUUGGGGUAUUUUUCUAAGAGUUGUGUCCGACUCUUCUUGACCCCAUGGACCAGAGCACGCCAGGCCCUCCUGUCUUCGACUGCCUAUUACAAAAAUAAAAAUAACCUGGAAUGGACA